rnacentral:lncRNA from 1 species
GCAUCUUGCAGAAGCAAGUGUAUUCUCAGACAGUUUUGAUGACUACCAAGUUAGAGAGCAAGGAACAGAAAAAUGCUACUUCAUCUUCAGCUUUUCUUCUUCUUCUUCUUCUUCUUCUUCUUCUUCUUCUUCUUCUUCUUCUUCUUCUUCUUCUUCUUCUUCUUCUUCUUCUUCUUCUUCUUCUUCUUCUUCUUCUUCUUCUUCUUCUUCUUCUUCUUCUUCUUCUUCUUCUUCUUCUUCUUCUUCUUCUUCUUCUUCUUCUUCUUCUUCUUCUUCUUCUUCUUCUUCUUCUUCUUCUUCUUCUUCUUCUUCUUCUUCUUCUUCUUCUUCUUCUUCUUCUUCUUCUUCUUCUUCUUCUUCUUCUUCUUCUUCUUCUUCUUCUUCUUCUUCUUCUUCUUCUUCUUCUUCUUCUUCUUCUUCUUCUUCUUCUUCUUCUUCUUCUUCUUCUUCUUCUUCUUCUUCUUCUUCUUCUUCUUCUUCUUCUUCUUCUUCUUCUUCUUCUUCUUCUUCUUCUUCUUCUUCUUCUUCUUCUUCUUCUUCUUCUUCUUCUUCUUCUUCUUCUUCUUCUUCUUCUUCUUCUUCUUCUUCUUCUUCUUCUUCUUCUUCUUCUUCUUCUUCUUCUUCUUCUUCUUCUUCUUCUUCUUCUUCUUCUUCUUCUUCUUCUUCUUCUUCUUCUUCUUCUUCUUCUUCUUCUUCUUCUUCUUCUUCUUCUUCUUCUUCUUCUUCUUCUUCUUCUUCUUCUUCUUCUUCUUCUUCUUCUUCUUCUUCUUCUUCUUCUUCUUCUUCUUCUUCUUCUUCUUCUUCUUCUUCUUCUUCUUCUUCUUCUUCUUCUUCUUCUUCUUCUUCUUCUUCUUCUUCUUCUUCUUCUUCUUCUUCUUCUUCUUCUUCUUCUUCUUCUUCUUCUUCUUCUUCUUCUUCUUCUUCUUCUUCUUCUUCUUCUUCUUCUUCUUCUUCUUCUUCUUCUUCUUCUUCUUCUUCUUCUUCUUCUUCUUCUUCUUCUUCUUCUUCUUCUUCUUCUUCUUCUUCUUCUUCUUCUUCUUCUUCUUCUUCUUCUUCUUCUUCUUCUUCUUCUUCUUCUUCUUCUUCUUCUUCUUCUUCUUCUUCUUCUUCUUCUUCUUCUUCUUCUUCUUCUUCUUCUUCUUCUUCUUCUUCUUCUUCUUCUUCUUCUUCUUCUUCUUCUUCNNNNNNNNNNNNNNNNNNNNN